rnacentral:lncRNA from 1 species
CCACUCACCUACCCACUCACUUACCCACUUUCUCUCCCACUCACCCACUCACCACCCACCCACUCUGCAUCCUCAGUGAGACCCUGCUUGGGGCAGGUGCAGCUCUAAGUGUGGGAUAAGCAGCCAAGACAGCAGGCCUGGCCUCCUGCCCGUGUGCCUUCCCUCCCGGGCAGGUGAGAGGUGCCUUGGCUUCUCCGGGUGACGUCCUCUUCUUCACUCAGUGUUUCCAUGUCCACGUGCACCCUGCAGCCACAUGCCGCUCAGGAAGCUGGAUGUGCCUGGUGCAUCUCAGAGGCACUGUGUCUCCCUGGCCUUGUGUGGGAGCCUCUGUGGGGUGCAUGGCUUUGGGUGCUGUGUAGUGUCCUACUGUGUGACCAGGCCUUCUUCUGUCUUUCCCUCCUGCUGUUGGUGAACUCGUCCUGAGUUUUGGCUAUUAGAGAAGACACCACUGUAAGCAUUGUACCGGGUCUUCCAGGGUCCCCAGGGUGGCCUGGCAUAUGGUGGGCCAUGUGCUCAGCUGAACUGGGUCCUGGCGACGGCUCUGACGCUUAGCCCAUCCCAGUGGCCGAGGCAUACGAACAGCCGUUUCCUGAUGCUUACCAGGGCUCGGUGCCUGUCGCGGGCCCAGCACCCUCCCUGUUCUCGCUCACCAACUCUUUCGCCCAAGGCUCCCAUCGUUGGUCUUUUUCUUGACUUCUUUAUACAGGUGGCUCUCAUCAGGGACCAUUUGGCCUCCCACCAGAGCCAUCCCCCCCUGGCCCCAAGUUUGGCUCUUGUGAACAAUCACAUGCCAUCCUGGCCUAUGGCUGUGGCUGCCAUGGCGCCCAGCCCCUCUCCAUGGACGCCUGAGCCAUGGUCUUAGCCCUGGGUCAUCCUGGUCUGGACCUUCCUCCUGUGUCCUCUUGAUAGAGGCCUGGGCUGGGCUCUUACCCCAGCUACAGAGGAGGGGCAGGGGUUCUUUGCUUUUUUCUGGGGUCACUGCACCUGCAGGUGUCCCCUGCCCCAGCUGAGCUGGUUCCCAAGGGGUUACAAUAUUCACAACCCGUAAAGCCAACACCCACGCUCCCCUUGUUCCCCAGACACCACUGUGGGGGUGCACGGGCAAGGUCCAGGGCCCCCAUGUGGGGCCGCAGCCCUAACCCACUCUGUUCAAUCAAAUUGCUUUUGGAGGGGGACGGGGAGCUCCAGCCACCUAACCAGACUCACAGUGAAUGGAAGGAUUGUUCUUUGAAACAUG